ensembl:lncRNA
GUGGGACCAGAAAGGAUGUCAAACAGUAGCAAAGUGAAGGGAAACACAAAGAAGAACUAAGUCAAGCGAUGACGGGUGAUGGCAGGAAAAGACCUCAGAGGACUCCACCCUUCUGCUAUCAAAGUAAAUAUCACUGUUACAUUGCAACUUUUGAAAUCAUUAUCUUUGGUGUCUGGAAACACUCGACGUGUUCAUGUUCUACUGGGUCCAGCAGGGAGGAUCGCCAUCCCCCCCUUCCCCUUUUUUUUGUGUUGUUUUUGUUGUUGGAGGUCCUGCCAACCUGUGUGAUAGUGUGGCCACUGAGUGCCUGCCUGCUGCAGAGUGCAGUGCUGCAGCAGCCCUCGCCCCCUCCCUCCAUCUCUCUCGCUCGCUCGCUGCCUCCCUGCGGACCCCUACAGACUGACUCCCCUCUUCUUCCUUCUCCUUCUCCUCCCAAGAGCAGCUCCUUCAGAACUGGCCCACCACCUUGUAUUGAAUCUACUACUUUACUACUACUCUACUACUACUGCUACACCAGAGUCUGUCCUCAGCAACCUCCACUUCCACUCUCUCUUCCCGUCUCGCUCCUGCAAGGAUCACUUUAUCCGGAGACGGAGUCGACUGAUAUUUUAUUUUAUUGUAUUUUCCCCUUUUUUUUUCUUCUUUUUUUUUAUUGGAGUUGCUGGUGUGCAUUUUAAUUUUGUUUUGUUGUGAGAAGUUUGGUGAUAUUGUUGCUGUUAUCAUGAACGAUUGUUAUGUUUUGACGAUUUCAUGGCUUUUAUGCAGUGUUCAUCUUCUUUCCUGUCCCUCUCACCGCCGCUGCCUCCAAGGCAGAACCAGCGUGUAGUUUAGAGGUAGGCCUCAGCCGCGUGAAUCACUGAGGGAGAGAGGGAGGGGAUUCAGGAUUGAGGAGUCAAAUCAGGAUGAAAAGGAGGGGGGAGGGAGGUGUAGUUUAAGGUUCUCCAGGAUGACAAGCCAACUUCUUCUGUCCAUCCUGGGGUGACCGAGCGUCCACUGCGCUGUGUCGUAACACACCCAUCGUUUUUAGUGUCGAUGGGCCUCGCUCACGCUGGUGCUUUAACUCUGGGAGCACCCAGUUAUCACUUAGAACCACCUCAACUUGAUGACAGCCUUCCAUUUCUAUGCAAAGACAAGGAGGUGUUCGCUCACAGCCAUCCCCUACAUCCGCCAAUUUUCCACUUAACCCUCUCGACCUUUAUUACCGGGCAGCUUCUCUCGAAACCUCACCUGGAUUAAAAUGUAGGGGACACUGAUGGAGCCUCUCUUCAGUAUAGGAAAAAAAUAAAGGGUGGGGGAGGGGGCGUGUAGUGGACAGAGCUGUUAGAUGACACUAAAUGACCUGCUGGAGGCACCAAGUUGAGUUUUUGUGCCAACAGAUUUCUGAAAGUCUACUUCCACUUUUGGCCACAUCCUGAUUUAUCCUUAGCAACGAUGAGUGUAUGUUAUCGCUGCAGAGCUGUGGGAGGCUUAAGGCCAGAUGAGUGGGGCUGGUCAUUCACCAGUAGGAGGAGGAAGAGGAGGAGGGAGUGUCCCUGUAUGUGUCUGUGCACUGUUUAUGGGUCACAUCGGGUACAUCUCUUUAAAAACCAAAAACAUUAUCUUUCUCUUUUUUCCUUUAUCAUUAAGGUUUUUGCAAAAACUAGAAACUACAAAAAAAACCCCGGUCUUUUUCAGCUGUGCACUCUGAGGCCGAGACGCCUGAUUUCUGUUUCUCUGCAAGCGGCCGCCUUCUCACCCUCUCUGGCCUCGUUUCUCCGAGCCACGCCUGGGAGAAGCUGUAUCCUGGAGGUUCACUCUGGACCUCCAAACCUGAAGGUUGUGCCAGCCAGUAUACACGCAUAUAUAUGAAUAUAUAGAAAACAGGUCAUGUCUGCACAUCUGACUUUGGGGGUCCAAGCGGGGACCCGACGUAUCAGCAGAAACAAGAGACGCACCUCAAGUUCGGUACCAAGUCUUAAAACUCUUUGCGGGGUGGUUUUUGACCCUCUUCCAGAGUCACUUUAGACUCGCAUCAUUCAACGAAACAAUCACUAUUGCCUGUGCUGUCUGUUUUUGUGCGAUUGGUCCUGAAAAACCUGCAUUUUGCUCCACACUGGACUUGAAUCAACGGGAGGAGGGGGAAGUUGAACCGAGUGGGAGGGACGGGUGACCAGGACCGAGUCUCAGACGUGCCCUGGGAUUUCACCAGCACUGAGAAGCCCCACCCUCUCCCACGCCUUCGUCUGCACUCUUAUCUACCUGUCUAGUGUUGGAAAUCACAUCCUCCCCUCCCCCUUCUUAUUUUUUACGAUUUAUUAUUGUUAUUUGAAGUCACGUGGACUCAAAGGCAACUGGAGCUCGAGUAAAAUCUACUUCUCAGUCGUGGAUCAGUCGAGGGUCUGGGGGCAAAAAGAGCUGAAUUAGCAAAUCUCUAAAAACAAAGGUCUGGGUUGAAUAUGCACAUGCUAGCUCAUACACAGGAUACAACCAAGCGUACAUUUGUGGGUGUAUGUGUGUGUAUGGCUAGAUUUCUGUUUUCCACUUAAGCCUAACCCCCCCACCCUUACCCUUACCUCCCCGCCCUCUGCCCUGGCGUCAGCUCCUUACCCUCUGUAUCCAACAUCAAUAUUUCCCAGAAGACAAGAUCAUAAACAUAUCAGAGUAAUACAAAAUAAUGAAAACAAAUACUUGAAUCAAAAGAAGCGCCAAUAAUGGGGGGAAGAGGUAUCUGGGGGGACAGUUCAUGUGUAAAUGUUUACUCAAGGACUAAAAAUAAGUGUGUUUUUAAAAAGAAAAUGUAAUGUUUAUCUACCUUAGUGGCUUUCAUUGUGGAAUAAUCCAAGAAAGUAUGGAUCAUAAUUGAGUAUUGCACCAUUUUUCAGACUAUAAACUUAAAAAAAUCAAAAAAAAAAUCAUAUGUAUAAAAAAAAAAUGCAGCAAAAAAAGUAUUUUGCAUACCUGUGGCCAUAGAUUGGGGUAGAAGGACUUCAGCUCUCCCAAAUCUGAGCAACGGAGGGUGAAGGACACGACAUCAGACCGAGCCUUGGCUUCUAGGGCUCAUUCAGAGGUGCCUACCUUUUUAUUUUUAUUUUAUUUUUUGGGUUUGUUAGCUUUCGUUCGGUUUUCUCUUAGUUCACUCAUCUGUUCUUCUGCAAGGCCACUGACAGUUUACAGUUUUUAUUCUGGAGUUCAUAAACAAAUCAGCAAAACAAAGGAAUUAAACCAUGUGGGGAAACUUAAAAAAAAAAAAAAAAAAAAAGAUUAAAAAAAGGACAAAUGCUUCCAUUUUUAAGAAAAAGUGCAACACUUCACAGAAUGAAGAUUUUAUCGUGCUACUUUCAGAACUCUGGGAUUGAACAGUGUUGUCUUGUUCUGUUUAACCUUCUUUAUUCUGUGUUAAUGUUGUUCAUGGACUAUCUGAAGCCUGUUUGUUUUAUGUUGAUUAUAUAUAUUUUUUCCUUUAUAUAAAAAAACAGAAAAGAAGACAAAAAAAAGACAUAAUUGCUCACUAUCUUGCACACACACGAAAAAGUGGAUCUUGUCUCAGGAAGGCCAGGGUUCCAGAGUACCAACUCCACGCCAUUUUAAUGUACAUUUUUAUGAGUUUAAAGAAAAAAACAAACAAAAACAAAAAAAAAAAACAAAGGAUGACUUAAAAGAAACAAUUCUAAGCACUGAAAGUUAUGGAUUUCAGAAGAAGAGAGAAUACCUUUUGUUUCUAAAUCCGUAGCAGUUACAUAAUAACCAAAUAAUGGACUUUAAAAUAAAAAUGGAGUGCUUUAUAUAUAAAUCUAUAUAUUAAAAUUGCUUUACAUGGAAAAAAACAAAAAUGGUCUGAGUUUGUAAAAGAAAAAAAAGAUGGUGAAUAACAUGCAAAAUGCUGUAUGUUUGAAUCUUUAUUGUGUUUUCUUAAUGAGGUCCCGUCCUGACUGAUUCAGGAAACAUUGUGCAUUAAUCUUUCUCUCUAUCUCUCUCUCUCUCUGUCUCUCUCUCUCUCUCGUUCUCAUUUUCCCACAGCGGGUAUUAUUAUUAUUAAUAUUAAUAAUAGAUGAAUUUUGUUUUCUUUCUUUUUUUGUGGAGCAUUUUUCACAGCUUGGAGGAUGUUUGUAAAACGUGAGCUGGUUGUAAAAGGAUCAUGAAACUAUGCACAAGUGUUUGGGGUGGGGGUGGGAGGGGUGAAGGUGGGGAUUUUAUGGCCUAUUUGCUGUAAGUGGCUGAUCUAUUGCAGGGGUUUUGGGGAUCCAAUGUGUUUUUAUUUGUUUUAGGUUGUUUUUUUGUUUGUUUUGUUUCUUUGAUAAAGAGGGCAGAGGGGUUGGAGACCUCCAUCUCCAGCUUCCUCCACCCACCCUCUGAUUCAGAUUGGCCUAGCGCUACAUCACCAUGCUGUGUAUUCCUAAAAACCAAUGAGCGUCUCACUCUUUAGCACUGUGGGAUUCUAGCCUGUCGCCCUCCAAGGGUUUUUUUUGUUGUUGUUGUUGUUUUUGUUUGUUUUUCUCCUCAGUUAAGGUUUUACAGAGGGCGGGUGGGAAAGUUAUGGGAUUAGGGCUGCUUUUUUUUUCUUCUUUUGUUUGAAAUAUUAAGUAAAAAUGUCUGUACUGAGAGUUAAUGAGAAGUCAGUGGCUUGUAAUGUUUUGUUUUUAUUUUGUUUUUCUCUCUGUAUAUCUCUUUCUCCUCAUAGAAUGUGAUUGUUAAAUGACAUGCACCGAAACAAAUGUUUUCAUGAACUAUGGAGCUUCUUUCAAAUAUUAAUAAAAAUAGCAUUUUUUUGUUUCUUGGCUGUUAAAGCCGUCCCCUCCUCCUCAUUUAUUGUGUGUGUCGUUCUGUCUGGAAACACGAUAGCUCGAAGAAUUUUGAAUUAACUCUCAUGAAACUCUGUAAGGGUGUAGAGCGGGGUCGGGUUAACAGUCCAUCGAGGUCUUAAAGGUCGACUCAAUGAUUUAUUGAUCGAAAAUUGACCAAAAGCCUUCUAACUCAGUAUGAUUCUUAGAAUUGUGGUGUUUUGUCAGCAUACAGAAGGUAUCGUGUAAAUCUUAAACUCAUUUCUGUCAGUGUGAAGAAGUUUAACCACACACUGAAUCUCUCAGAUGUAAGAAAAAGUGCACUUUCAGCAGAACAUCUGAGUUUUUCUCCAUAAUGAAGAAAUACUGGAAGUGGAAGAGUAGAUUGUGAAAAAACUGUUACUUUCAGUCAUGUAAUUGUUUAUAUAUUACUUAAUUACACUGGUGUAGUGUGACUGGUCAUGGGGGAGGUCUUCAUUUGUAGGAGAAGCUGUGAAUACAAAAUGCAUGUGUACAAAAUACAAUUUUAAAAGUGAAUACUGCUCAGAGAGUGAGUCGCCUCAGUGGAGGUUCGUGCUCUCGGGUUGUUUUUUCUUCAUCUUUUUUUAUCCUGGAUGCAAAUCACCAUCAGAGCGCAGCGCUUGUAUUUCUGCAAAUGCCUCUGUGUUACUUCCUGUGACUGCUCGCAGCACCGUUGGCCCGAUGGUGUCAGUCUCUCAGUUUGAGCUGUCUGGGACAGGCGUAGUAGUUGUCCUGAAGCUGUCGGAUGUUUGGGUUAGCGUACACGGGGAAGUUGACUUCCUCCAGGUGCAAGGGGACCUCGUGGUUAUUCUGGGGGCCUCUGGGGCUCUGCUGCUGCUGCUGCUUCCUGCCCAUUUCCUCAUAGAUUGGAGCAUGAGGUUGCG